rnacentral:rRNA from 1 species
ACACAUGCAAGUCGAGGGGCAGCAUUUCAGUUUGCUUGCAAACUGGAGAUGGCGACCGGCGCACGGGCGAGUAACACGUAUCCAACCUGCCGAUAACUCGGGGAUAGCCUUUCGAAAGAAAGAUUAAUACCCGAUGGCAUAAUUAGACCGCAUGGUCUUAUUAUUAAAGAAUUUCGGUUAUCGAUGGGGAUGCGUUCCAUUAGGCAGUUGGUGAGGUAACGGCUCACCAAACCUUCGAUGGAUAGGGGUUCUGAGAGGAAGGUCCCCCACAUUGGAACUGAGACACGGUCCAAACUCCUACGGGAGGCAGCAGUGAGGAAUAUUGGUCAAUGGACGAGAGUCUGAACCAGCCAAGUAGCGUGAAGGAUGACUGCCCUAUGGGUUGUAAACUUCUUUUAUAUGGGAAUAAAGUUUUCCACGUGUGGAAUUUUGUAUGUACCAUAUGAAUAAGGAUCGGCUAACUCCGUGCCAGCAGCCGCGGUAAUACGGAGGAUCCGAGCGUUAUCCGGAUUUAUUGGGUUUAAAGGGAGCGUAGGUGGACAGUUAAGUCAGUUGUGAAAGUUUGCGGCUCAACCGUAAAAUUGCAGUUGAUACUGGCUGUCUUGAGUACAGUAGAGGUGGGCGGAAUUCGUGGUGUAGCGGUGAAAUGCUUAGAUAUCACGAAGAACUCCGAUUGCGAAGGCAGCUCACUGGACUGCAACUGACACUGAUGCUCGAAAGUGUGGGUAUCAAACAGGAUUAGAUACCCUGGUAGUCCACACAGUAAACGAUGAAUACUCGCUGUUUGCGAUAUACAGUAAGCGGCCAAGCGAAAGCAUUAAGUAUUCCACCUGGGG